rfam:Pantoea sp. PSNIH2, complete genome.
CAAGACGAUCCAGGGUGCGCUUUUUUUCACCAUAAUACAGGUCAAACAUCUUGAAAUUCUGAGGGACGUCCUCAUUUCAUCUCCAGUAGCAUUUUGACCUGUAUUGGGAGGAAUCAUGCGUCUGGAUCGUCUUAC